rnacentral:rRNA from 1 species
AUGUGGUUAAGUUACUAAGGGCACACGGUGGAUGCCUUGGCGCUAGGAGCCGAAGAAGGACGCAGCGAACUGCGAUAAGCCUCGGGGAGCGGUAAGCACGCAUUGAUCCGGGGAUCUCCGAAUGGGGC